rnacentral:lncRNA from 1 species
GCUGUGUUUAUUAUCUGUUUUUCCAUGUUAUCUAUAUGACAAUUGCAUAUCAAGUUCGGAAGCUCAGGAUCUCCUGAAGGUAGCUAUUUUCUAAUUCCACUUUUAUCCUACCCUCUGGUAUAGUAUUUGUCUGCGCGUGUUUGCAUCUGCUGGGGCUGAUAAGGUAGAAGUGGCUACCUGACUAACAUUAUUAUAGUUCUCUCCUCCUUCCUCUCCUAGCUGGUUGGAAAUGAUGGUCACCUCUGGACGCUGGUCACCUGCUCAGAGAUAACGGGGCAGCCGACUGCAGGACCCCCCAUCACCUUGCGGUAUUGGUGGCUCUGCCUAUACCGGCCAGGGGGACACGCUAGUCACUGAGCAAGGAAGGGGAAGGUCCGCAUAGGACUGAAACGGAUGGGGUUGUCUUUUCAUUUGUUGGCUGCUUCUCUUGCUGUGCAGAAGACUUACAGGUUUUUGAGAACGUAGGGAAAAUUCACAGUGAGUUCAAGUCCUGAUCUGUCUCUAUUCUCAAGUCACCUCCUACAGGAUUCUGCAGUAGAAUGGUUAUGUUUAGUUCCCUUUUGAGCUCAGGGAUAUCAACUACUCAUUUAAAUGUGUGAGGAACUAAAAAAAAUAUUUCUAAAACACACUUAUAAUGAU